GAUAAACGCUGGCGGCGCACAUAAGACAUGCAAGUUGAACGGACUUAAUCGAAAUAUUUAUAUUUUGAAGAGGUUAGUGGCGGACUGGUGAGUAACGCGUAAGGAACCUGCCUAUUAGAGGGGAAUAACAGUGAGAAAUCAUUGCUAAUACCGCAUAUGCCAUAGAUAUCACAUGAUAACAGUGGGAAAGGAGCAAUCCGCUAAUAGAUGGCCUUGCGUCUGAUUAGAUAGUUGGUGGGGUAACGGCCUACCAAGUCGACGAUCAGUAGCCGGACUGAGAGGUUGAACGGCCACAUUGGGACUGAGAUACGGCCCAGACUCCUACGGGAGGCAGCAGUCGGGAAUAUUGCGCAAUGGAGGAAACUCUGACGCAGUGACGCCGCGUAUAGGAAGAAGGUUUUCGGAUUGUAAACUAUUGUCGUUAGGGAAGAGAAAGGACAGUACCUAAGGAGGAAGCUCCGGCUAACUACGUG
rnacentral:rRNA from 1 species